GGAAUAUUGGACAAUGGGCGAAAGCCUGAUCCAGCCAUGCCGCGUGUGUGAAGAAGGUCUUCGGAUUGUAAAGCACUUUAAGUUGGGAGGAAGGGUAUUCACCUAAUACGUGAGUAUUUUGACGUUACCGACAGAAUAAGCACCGGCUAACUCUGUGCCAGCAGCCGCGGUAAUACAGAGGGUGCAAGCGUUAAUCGGAAUUACUGGGCGUAAAGCGCGCGUAGGUGGUUUGUUAAGUUGAAUGUGAAAUCCCCGGGCUCAACCUGGGAACUGCAUCCAAAACUGGCAAGCUAGAGUAUGGUAGAGGGUGGUGGAAUUUCCUGUGUAGCGGUGAAAUGCGUAGAUAUAGGAAGGAACACCAGUGGCGAAGGCGACCACCUGGACUGAUACUGACACUGAGGUGCGAAAGCGUGGGGAGCAAACAGGAUUAGAUACCCCGG
rnacentral:rRNA from 1 species